CAAAAUAUCUAGAAUCUUAAAUUCGAACCUGAAGGUCUAUAAACUGUGCAGCUUAACUACUUUGUCUUCUUCAGGAGGUUUGAGAUUCAGCAUGUUGCCAUGGUAACCGGCUUGUUUUGAGAGAGGGGCGAACAAUAAUUUGUAUUUAUUUGAUUUUUUUUUCAGUGGUGACACAUGGGGGGGGGGGGCCUCAACUUUUAUUUCUUUAAAAUACUGGAAAAGAAACAGGCUUCCUGAUUUAAAGGUGAAUAAACAUGGCUCCACAAUCUCAGAUGUUCUCUGGCCCAAGGGAGACGGUGUAUCAUCUCUCAUUUUAUGAAAUCACAUGACUUGUGCUCAGUAUUUUGGUAUCUCAAGGGGCUUGAUCCUAAAAGAAGACCCAAUAGCUGAGGAGCUGAGAAAAACUAGAACUGAAUUAACGAGGACUCCUACUGCUUGGGCAAUGAGAACUGAACUUAUAAGACUACAAUAUAGCUCUCUUCUCCCUAUAUUAUUGAUUGGUCUGUUUUUCUGCCUAAAG